CGUUGAUUGAAGCACGAGGUGUGCUUACCUUUAAUCAUGAGAAAUUAACUUAACAAAGGGAGAAAAUUCCAACGUCGAUGUAACCGGAUUGAACGAUCGACCACGAAAAUCGACAAUUCAUUUACAGAGAAAAAAAGCAAAUGCCCAUUCAGAUAGAGAAGUUCUGCCGUCGUCUUCGGUUCUGUCCGAACUGAAAAGUGGAGAAGAAACGACAAUAAAUAGCUGAAGA